UACAGAGGCCUCGAGCGUUAGGCGGAAUCACUGGGCUUAAAGCGUGUGUAGGCGGACUUCUAAGUACCUUGUGAAAUCCCACGGCUCACCCGUGGAACUGCUUGGUAUACUGGUUGUCUUGAGCCUUCUAGGGGCGAGUGGAACAAAUGGUGGAGCGGUGAAAUGCGUAGAUAUCAGGAGGAACACCAAUAGCGAAGGCAGCUCGCUGGGACGUAACUGACACUGAGGCGCGAAAGCGUGGGGAGCGAACAGG
rnacentral:rRNA from 1 species